UGACCCUCUAGAUGGAAGCACUGUCUGUUGUCUUAAGAAAAGAUCGUGCAUCCCUUUAGAGUGUUAC
ncrna:Pan troglodytes (chimpanzee) microRNA ptr-mir-517b precursor (ptr-mir-517b-1)